AUAAUUUUUUGAGAAAAUAACAACAGAAAUAUUAGAGUCUUCAAUUGCUUUCAAGAUCGCUGGCUCGAUCUCUUCCCCUCUUUCAAGUGUAUUGUCUAUAAAAGUGCUAAUGCCUAGACGAUGCAAAUCACCAUAGAGAUGGCCAAUAAAAUUGUUACGUGUAUCUGCACCUCUAAAACUGAGGAACACAUCAUGUUUUACAUGAUACAAAGAAGAAGAAGAAGAAGAAG
rnacentral:misc_RNA from 1 species